rnacentral:rRNA from 1 species
AUUGAACGCUGGCGGCAGGCCUAACACAUGCAAGUCGAGCGGAGCGGCGGACGGGUGAGUAAUGCCUAGGAAUCUGCCUGGUAGUGGGGUAUAACGUCCGGACACGGGCGCUAAUCCCGCAUACUAUCAGAUGUGUCUAGGUCGGAUUAGCUAGUUGGUGGGGUAAAGGCCUUCCAAGGUGACGAUCGGUAACUGGUCUGAGAGGAGGAUCAAUCACACUGGAGAUGAGGCACGGUCCAGACUCCUACGGAAGGCAGCAGUGGGGAAUAUUGGACAAUGAGCGAAAGCCUGAUCCAGCCAUGCCGGGUGUGUGAAGAAGGUCUUCAGAUUGUAAAGCUCUUUAAGUUGGGAGGCGUUACCAACAGAAUAAGCACCGGCUAACUUCGGGCCAGCAGCCGCGGUAAUAA